rnacentral:lncRNA from 1 species
UGCAGAUCUCUGUGCUUUUGCUGUCCUGCCUCCUUUUCUAUUAGUUUCCUAUUAUAUUUCAGCUCCCUGCUUGUGCCUGCAUACUCACUCUGAUCUGGGAUCCCUGCCAGCUGCUCCAGCCGUGUCCCAAUGCCAGCUGGGAUGUGUAGGUGCAGUGAUAGGAUGAUGCUCAUAGUACUGGGCAUUUAUUUUUUGACAUUUUGCAGAAAGCAAUUUCUCUGUGAGCUCUCAGCCUCUUCAGGAACAUGCUGUUAAUGGGCUUACUCCCAAAGUGCUGUAACCUGAUGAAGAGGCAAUGGCAUUUCACAAUGUGUACUCCAUUCACAGCUACCUGCUUAAAAUGUGGAAGGUGGAGGGGAUGCCUGAUGGGCUAUUCUGGAGGGUUAAAUACAAAUCAUCACACUGCUUUAUUGGAUAAGCUUCUCUACAUCGGCAGAUCACGUGCUUGGGAGACCAAAUCAGCUCACAUCUCUGGUAGUGGCAGUGGCUUUGGCACGGCUAUCCAGGAUUUCACGUCAGAAUUGAGGAAAAAUUUGCCACAAAAUUGGAGGAAAUAUGAUUUGAAAAUGGAAGGACGGGCAGUGAAAAUUUUGUAUUGGGA